rnacentral:rRNA from 1 species
GGUUUCGCUGAUUCCUCCUUUCUGAAGAACUGUAAUGUCAUUAAUUUGGUGUUGCAGGGAAACAGGACUGUUACUUUGAAAAAAUUAGAGUGUUUAAAGCAGGCUAACGCUUGAAUACAUUAGCAUGGAAUAAUGAAAUAGGACGUUCAAACCUAUUUUGUUGGUUUCUAGGAUUGACGUAAUGAUUAAUAGGGAUAGUUGGGGGCAUUAGUAUUCAAUUGUCAGAGGUGAAAUUCUUGGAUUUAUUGAAGACUAACUACUGCGAAAGCAUUUGCCAAGGAUGUUUUCAUUAAUCAAGAACGAAAGUUAGGGGAUCGAAGACGAUCAGAUACCGUCGUAGUCUUAACCAUAAACUAUGCCGACUAGGGAUCGGAUGAUGUUAAUUUUUUAAUGACUCAUUCGGCGCCUUA